AGUACAAUUGCUGGGUUGUAUGGUAAGUCCAAUUUUAGUUUUAAAAGGAAUUAUGAAACGAUUUUCCAGAGCAGCUAUACCAUUUUAUAUUCCCACCAACAAU
rnacentral:pre_miRNA from 1 species